UUGUUUCAGCAGCACAUAUACUAAAAUGGAAGAAUACAAGGAAGAUUAGCAUGGCCUCUGCACAAGAAUGACAUGCAAAUUGAAGCGUUCCAUAUUUUA
rnacentral:snRNA from 1 species